UAUUUAAAUUAAUGAUUUGAGAUUGAUCCUGUCUUCAGGUUUACAGUUGUUGUUAUGAAUUGGUUUAUAGGUGGUAUUAAAUACGAGCUUUUGCUAGUUAUUCCAAAUUAUCUUAAUGAUAUUUGGAUUUGUUUAUUUGUAGUUUUUAAUUUUGAAUAUCAAGUAAUCUUGGGUUCAGUUAACUUAUUUAGAAUUGUUUAAGGCUGUGCCAGCAAACGCGGUUAUACAGUCGAUUCAAAUUAAUUUUUUUGGUUAUUUAUUUAUUUAUUU
rnacentral:rRNA from 1 species